rnacentral:lncRNA from 1 species
UGCUGUUGUUUGAAGCCUCACUUUGCUUGUCCUUGCCUCCCAGCAGAGAUAGUUGCAUCAGUGUGUGCCUUAGACGGUCAGUAUCAUGAGGCCAUUGGACACAGGGUGAAAGGCCUCAACACAUAUGGAGAAUGACUUGCAGUGAUCCCGCGUCUCUGUGAAGGCCAUGCUCAGGCACCUUCCUUUCAGCUCUUGUGCAGCUCCAGCAGAAAGUGGAAUACCGGCACUCUGGGGGAACUGGAUUGUGCUGUAUUAUAGUGCCAGAAUAGCAGAGCGAUGCCACUCUGGAUUUCCUGAAAUGAGACGGUGCUUGUUGUGAUCAACAGUGAGAAGGAGAGACUGCAGCUGUUCAGAAACAAUGGAGAAAGAGCAGAAGGGAGAUGAGGAGCUAAACUGGAAUAUGACAUUGGAGUUGCCUCUGUGUCUCUUACUGCUGCUUCAUGUCAGGAUCUGGUUUGUGCUAGGGGAAAAGCUGGCAAUACAGACCAAUGUAAGUAUGUAGUCAGUCCCCAAGCAGGACUUGGGAGGUGAGCAAACCCUUCUGGCAGGCUGUUCAGCUCAACCAUCACUGCGAGGCAACUCUGGCCAGUGUAUGAAUUCAAGUGAGGCAGAGGUGGCAUCCUUGCUGCUUGCAACAAUUCCCUGUAAAGGACCAUGAAAGAUCGUUGCAGUUUCGGGGCAGAUCUGUGCAGUGUUACUCUCCAGGUGGUGGUGGAAUAUGGUGUGUUUAAUUUUGUGAGUAUGGUUUCCUUCCAUACAGUGGCAUGUGUGACAGCUGUCUGUUGACCUGAACUUACCAGUACCUGUCUUUCAGAAGAGUAGUCCUCAAAUCCUGUUGGCAACUUCAGUUAUUGCUGCCAGCCCUUUGGAUAGCCCCCGAGUUUGCCCCUUGCAAGGUAAAGCCCAUGACCUCCAGAUUGGUGAGGAUCAUGGCUGCUCCCAUGGAACUUUCUGGUUUCCUUCAGGCUGGCAAGAUCAAGUGAAGUGCAGCCCUACCAUUUCUACUGCAGCUCCCCUUAGGAGUAGAAGGCAAAGGGGGCAGGCUGUGGU